CAAAUUCUAACAGAUAACUUGUCCUGAACCCCAUAAAUCCACUGAUAUUUUUUUCAAAAAUCUUCCCGCCAGCCAACUGAUUGUUAGCUUCUUCAACAAUCAUCUGAAGAUUGAUCCAUGGCUACUCAAAGGAAUAACCCAAACGCCUCUAAAUCCAUGGCUGAUCAAAGGAAUAACCCAAACACCUCUAAAUCCAUGGCUGAUCAAAGGAAUAACUCAAACUCAAACUCAAACUCAAACCCAAACCCAAACCCAAACCCAAACAACUCUAAAUCUAUAAACAAGAAGAGACAACCAUUU
rnacentral:lncRNA from 1 species